rnacentral:rRNA from 1 species
GUGACCUCAAAUCAGGUAGGACUACCCGCUGAACUUAAGCAUAUCAAUAAGCGGAGGAAAAGAAACUAACAAGGAUUCCCCUAGUAACUGCGAGUGAAGCGGGAAAAGCUCAAAUUUAAAAUCUGGCGGUCUUUUGGCUGUCCGAGUUGUAAUCUAGAGAAGUGUUAUCCGCGCUGGACCGUGUACAAGUCUCCUGGAAUGGAGCAUCAUAGAGGGUGAGAAUCCCGUCUUUGACAUGGACUGCCAGGGCUUUGUGAUGCGCUCUCAAAGAGUCGAGU